UGUUAUGAAGGUACUGGUAAAUUCACAUACAUGAAGUUGUUGCAUGUCCAUCAAAUUGUCUAGCCUUCGAGGAUGGAAUUAUUUGUUGGAAACGACUUCUGAAUCUGCAGAAUAAGAAGUUCAUUCACACUCUUUUCUCUCUAAUACUUGCGGUCACAAGACCAUGGUGUUAAUGGAGUCAAAUAACUUCAGGUGUUUUAGACGCAUCACUUUGUUCCUCGGCUGAUUUGUAAGGCAGCAGUAUAAUUAUCCGCUACUCCGGUCAACAGAGUAAUGGUAGUUUGGUCGUCUCCUGUGUUUAUGCCAUAAACAUAAUACUCCCUAAAUACUGCAGUAUGCACGUAUGCACAGAUUUCCUGUUUGAUAAACUAUGGUGAAUGAGAAGCUAGCUAGCUUAUGCACUCGAUUCCCUGUUAGAUACUGCAGUAUAUACUUCUUGCUUUUGUUGUUCUUAAUAUAGCUUGCUAGUUCUGGAUUUAAUCAUUCUUUCUAGUUCUGUAUGCUUAUCAUGGAGUAGUUGCUUUAUUUUCUGAGUAGGAGUUUAUACUUUCUAUAGGAGUAGGAGUAUAAAUACUUAAGUUCUCCGUUAAGGUGAUGGAGUAGUAGUAUAUACUUUAAACUAUGAUGACAUUACAGUCUAAAUAAAAUCCACUUUUAAAUUACAACCACUUGAGAAGGUAAUUCAAUGUAAAUGUACAACCUGUUGAGUAUUCUGCGCAAAAUACCCACUUCUGUACUUUUAAAUUCACUUUAAUCUGGAGUAGUGGUAUAAUGAAGAUGGUAUCUGAAUUCACUUUAAUCAACCAGAUGUUCCUUUAGCUUAGUACUCCAUGAGCUUAUUGUCAUAUUUCUAGUAUUGGAGUAUGUCUUCUAGAUGUGAAUGAGCUCGGAGGCGACCUGUUGGUGAACAACCUGUAGGUGUACUCCAUGAGCUUAUCUGUUUUCCUUCUUCAGACCAUGCCCGCCGGUUUUAUCAUCCUUAUUUGUGAAUCAUUAGACUCCUGAAAAUCUCUGGCUCCUGAAAAUCAUAAAACUGAUGAAAUGCACGCCGGUUUCUAUCAUCAUUAUUUGUUAAAUCUCUGGCUCCUGUGUGCAUUUUCUGAAUAAUAUUAACUGAAAUUUAAUGUGUGCAUUUUCUGAAUCAUAUUAGCUAGAAUUUAUUGUGUGCAUUUCUACUCGAGCUAUCAUUACAUCAUUGCCAAAUGUUUAUCAGGUUGCAUACAGUGAAAUUUAUUAUUCAGAUACACAUGGAAAGGAAGAGAGUCGAAUGCAUCACCUUUUUUAUUCAGACACACAUGGAACUUAUUAAGGCAUAGAGAUGUUUCCCUUUUUUUUGAAGGAUAGAUGUCAGUUUAUUCUUAGCCUUUCAAUCACUAUGAUCUUUGAACUUUGAAUGAUGCUAGAUAUCAGGUCUGUAUCCUGCAAAUUGUUCAGCGCAUGCAACUCGUCAUUCUGCACAAUUAGCACAUGUCCUGUUUGUUCUGCGCAUAUAUCUGUAGCAUUAGUAAACUACUAACAGGAGUAGUAAAAUGGAUAGUGGAAAUGUUUCAAACUGAAUUUUCGUGCACUGAACCACACCAUUUCUUAUCUUCUUUUAAUCUGCAUCUCUCUUUUCCUUCUUCUGAUCCUUUGAUUCAAUAAUGUCAUUAUCAUUUCUUCCUUAUUAAAAGGUUUAGAGCAGUUCUUUUCUUUUAAUUUGCAGCUAUUGUUUAUUCAGUUGAGACUAUUGAGCAAGUUGCAGUAAACCUGAGGCCGACGUGUAGCAAUUUAAGCACCUACCCUAAUGGAUGAUUCAUUUCUCUUCGGGUGGAGAGAAGUUGAGGCCUGGAAGAACCAUGGUGAUCUGCUGUGCUGCCGAGCAAGGAAGAAGGUCUUGUGUUGGGCGCAUGUGGACCUGGAGGUGCUUACCGGUACUCUGUUGGGUAAGUGUUGGGCACGUGUGGACCUGGAGGUGCAGCUGGCUUACAGGGAGAGCAGCUGGGUGACCUGGAGCUGCCGCGAGUUGGGCCACAAGCUGGGUGGCGCAACCAGAUCGUCGGUGAAGGAGUCCGAUGGUGAGACAUAACUGUUGUUCGCCGCUGCAAGCCUGUCCAUGGCCAGCGCGGACACAGUGGGUCGCGCCGCUGUAGUUUGAAUUAUCACCUAGUUUGGCUUUGAAGUUCUGUGUGAUAGUUUGUAGGAAUUUAAAUGUUUGAAUUAUCUGUUUUUAUUACCAGAUGUUUAUGCCGGUUGUUUCUGUAGUUUCGACAGAAUUUGAUGUUGUUUAGUAGGCAAUCAUAACUUGAAUUCCUUGU